AACAGAACCCGACGCAGACACGCGCUUUCAACCGGCGGAGACACUGGCAGGGCCAGAAACGCGCGCAGUGGGGGCGGGAAGUCAGUAAGCUCCCCGCCCCGGCCCCAGACCCCGCCCCGGCCCGGCCCCGCCUUUUUCUCUCCUCCCCUCCCUGCAUGUACGGGCCCCGCCCCUCGCGCGACGUUUUUUGUUGACCCGGAAACGGAUUCUCCGGAGCCAAGGUCCGCUCGGAUUUGUCUUCUUAGUGCUUGGAUGGUGUGAGUGAAAACCCAGAGGAAUACAUUUGGUGGCUGAGCUAGUACAAUGCCAUCACCGGAUUCCAUGACCUUCGAGGAUAUCAUUGUAGACUUCACUCAAGAAGAGUGGGCCCUGCUGGACACAUCCCAGAGAAAGCUGUUUCAAGAUGUGAUGUUGGAGAACAUCAGUCAUCUGGUCUCUAUUGGUGAGUCUCUUUAUAUUUAUUAUGUAUGUAUAUAUGGAUUCAUUCACUCACUCAUUUUUCACUGAUUCAUUCUUUCAUUCUACACGUGCUUAGAACAGCUUUCUCAUCUAUCACUUCAACUUCUGCUUUGAUCCUUUCAUAACUCUCACAAUUACCUGACAGCCAUUUCUUUCCUUUUCACUUAUAUUGAUUUGUCCUCUCUCUAGAAAGUCAUCUUUCUGACCACAAUUUCACAUCCUUCUUGCUCUUCAAUCUCCCAAACUCAGAAAAGUUAUGGUAAUUCACUGCUUUUGUAUGCAUAAAUAAAUGUAUUGAUUUCUUUAAAGUAAUUAUUCUAUCAUAGGGACUGUUCUGCACAGAACCUAGAUUGUUCUGGUGGAGCUAAUAUUUAUUGCAUAGUUUUUUAAUAUAAUGUCAAACACUAUGACAAUUUGUAAUUUCUCACUAAGUGAAAAUACUGAGGAUUCUGAAAUCAGUAUUUGAAGUGAGGCAUGGCCAUCAGCAAUUAUAGGUCUUUUAUGUCUGGGAACAAGUUCAAGAGUUUUCAUUUUGCUCAUGAAGGACUGUCAAUGUUGUCUUCAAGGUACUCUUCCCAGGCUGACCUUCAGUGGCUAACUUAUCCUUCCCAGUAGGCUGCCCUGUAUCUGAUAACCUUGUACAUUUGUCAGCACAGAACUCAAAAUCCAUGUAUCUUUUUCCCCAAAACAGGCAAACAGCUCUGCAAAUCAGUUGUGCUUUCCCAAUUGGAGCAAGUAGAGAAACUUUCAACACAAAGAAUAAGCUUCCUGCAAGGUGAGCUCUAAGAAGCAGUGCUUCAAUAGGAGGAGGAGAAACAUGGCCAGUGAGUGAGUAGGACCCAACAGUUGCCAAAGGAAGAUUUCUUUUGUUUUUUUAGACAGAAUCUCACUCUGUCACCCAGGCUGGAGUGCAGUGGCAUGAUCUCGGCUCACUGCAACCUCUGCUUCCCAGAUUCAAGUGAUUAUCUUGCCUCAGCCUCCUGAGUAGCUAGGACUACAGGUGUGCACCACCAUGCCCAGCUAAUUUUUUUCUAUUUUUAAUAGAGACAGGGUUUCAACAUGUUGGCCAGGCUGGUCUCGAACUCCUGACCUCAAGAAAUCCACCCGCCUCAGCCUCCCAGAGUGCUGGGAUUACAGUCAUGAACCACCACGCCAAGCCGGAAGAUUUCUUAAAUUUGCAGUGUUUCUGAAAUGUAGGCAAAAACCUGAGGGAAACAUUUCUCAGAUAUUGUCAUUAUACUUUGUAGUUAUCAAUUUUUAUUCAAGUAUCUCUCUGUCAUUGUCUUUGUCUUUUGUAAAGGGGAUUUUUGUGUACUUAUUUGAGUUAAAGUAUUACAUACUAGCCCUUUAUAAUGGUCCUCUUCUUUGAAAAUUUUUCUUUCCUUUACUUCCUCGACUUGCCUUUAUUUUUUUAUAUGCUGAAAAUGUCAGUAGUCAAUGUGCUAUAAUACUCUUCUCCUUAAAGUGUGGUUAAUUUAACAUUCUUUCCCUGUCUGUCUGUAUUUGAAACACACUCAAAUGGACAUUGGAGCUAUUUAACAUUUUUAUUCCCCUAAUGCCUAUAUAGCAUCUUUUUUUUUUUCAUUUAUUUCAGGUAGAGAAGUUGGCAUUAAACAUCAAGAGAUACCAUUCAUUCAACAUAUCUAUCAGAAGGGCACGUCCACCAUCAGCACAAUGAGAUCUCAUACUCAAGAGGAUCCUUUUCUAUGCAAUGAUUUAGGAGAAGAUUUCACUCAACAUAUGGCAUUGACUCAAAAUGUGAUUACUUACAUGAGAAAGAAACACUUUGUGAGCAAAAAGUUUGGGAAAAUCUUCAGUGACUGGUUAUCCUUUAAUCAACACAAGGAAAUUCACACCAAAUGUAAAUCAUAUGAAAGUCAUCUAUUUGAUUAUGCCUUUAUCCAAAACUCUGCCCUUAGACCACACAGUGUGACUCACACUAGAGAGAUAACAUUGGAAU
rnacentral:sRNA from 1 species